rnacentral:rRNA from 1 species
ACGUAGGUGGCAAGCGUUGUCCGGAAUUAUUGGGCGUAAAGCGCGCGCAGGCGGGAAUGUAAGUCUAUCUUAAAAGUGCGGGGCUCAACCCCGUGAGGGGAUGGAAACUACAUUUCUUGAGUAUCGGAGAGGAAAGUGGAAUUCCCAGUGUAGCGGUGAAAUGCGUAGAUAUUGGGAGGAACACCAGUGGCGAAGGCGACUUUCUGGACGAUGUCUGACGCUGAGGCGCGAAAGCCAGGGUAGUGAACGG